UAAUGAACAAUCUAAGCUGAUAGAAAAUAUACAAGAAGUAGAAUUAGACAUAACUUAUACUAAUAGUAGAUUGAAAUAUCAAACAAAGCUAAGUAAAAAGUCCCUUAAUUUGAAUCACUUAGGAUAACAAAAUAGCUUCUUUAAAACGCCUCGAAUAUUUAGAUCUUAGAUUCCAACCUGAAAAGAAAUAUAGAGUGUUAAAGGAUAAUACCACUAUAAGGUGUAAUUUCAACCAGG
rnacentral:lncRNA from 1 species